AAUGAACGCUGGCGGCGCGCCUAAUACAUGCAAGUCGAGCGAGAAGACGUAGCAAUACGUUUGUAAAGCGGCGAACGGGUGAGGAAUACAUGGGUAACCUACCCUCGAGUGGGGAAGUAACUAGCCGAAAGGUUAGCUAAUACCGCGUACGCUCCUUGGACUUCGGUUCAGGGAGGAAAGCGAUACCGUGGGUAUCGCGCUCUUGGAUGGGCUCAUGUCCUAUCAGCUUGUUGGGAGGUAACGGCUCACCAAGGCUUCGACGGGUAGCUGGUCUGAGAGGACGAUCAGCCACACUGGCACUGCGACACGGGCCAGACUCCUACGGGAGGCAGCAGUAAGGAAUAUUGCGCAAUGGGCGAAAGACCUGACGCAGCGACGCCGCGUGGGGGAGUGAA
rnacentral:rRNA from 1 species